CCUACGGGAGGCAGCAGUGGGGGAUAUUGCACAAUGGGGGGAACCCUGAUGCAGCGACGCCGCGUGGGUGAAGAAGCGCCUCGGCGCGUAAAGCCCUGUCAGCAGGGAAGAAAAUGACGGUACCUGAAGAAGAAGCCCCGGCUAACUACGUGCCAGCAGCCGCGGUAAUACGUAGGGGGCAAGCGUUAUCCGGAUUUACUGGGUGUAAAGGGGGCGCAGACGGCGAUGCAAGCCAGGAGUGAAAGCCCGGGGCUCAACCCGGGGACUGCUCUUGGAACUGCGUGGCUGGAGUGCAGGAGGGGCAGGGGGAAUUCCUGGUGUAGCGGUGAAAUGCGUAGAUAUAAGGAGGAACACCGGUGGCGAAGGCGGCCUGCUGGACUGCAACUGACGUUGAGGCCCGAAAGCGUGGGGAGCAAACAGGAUUAGAUACCCCAGUAGUC
rnacentral:rRNA from 1 species